rnacentral:lncRNA from 1 species
GGAUGUGCGUGCAUUUUAAGAAUUUAAAGUUCCAAAAAUAUUUAGUUGGAAUUCGUUGUUGUCAGUACUACGAUGAUAAUAAAUUCUGUAUGGUCUUUAUUAUAUUUCAAGGUAAAAUAGUAUAGUGAUAACAAUCAUUACCAGUUAAAAAGGAAAAAAAUAACAAAAGAGGAAGAUUGAAAGGUAGGUACAAAAGCAAUUAUAAAAAAUUUUGAGACUUAGCAUUUACGUAUUCAAGUUGAGAGGACUAACUCCAGAGUCAAAAAAAUACGAUGGGGCGAGAAGAAAGGAUUACAUAAUUGUAGAUUGUCGACUCUAAAGCUCAAUCCUGAGAAAACUUACGAAUGACUUGAGCAAAUCGCUACUUCAAAUAUAUAGACAUUACAGUUGCAAAUUUGUAAACUGGCCUGAGUAAGUAUAUCUUAUCCAUGUGCAAAAGAACUCCAUUCAAAGUCAAGGGGAGCAAAUUUCAGUGCCCAUAAAUUUUAAAUCCACCAAAGCAUAUAGCAACCUAACCAUGAAGGUACAAAAAUAUCGAGUUUGCCAUCAAUAAUUUAAGCACAUGUUAUCACAGCACAUCCACAAUGCCAGUUCACCAUCCACAAUGUUGUUCCAUUGUGCAUACUAUUUGAUUGUUGUGCCUUAUUUAGUCAAACAAAAAAUAUAUCUAACCCUCAAUUGGGGGAUAACUUACAUAUAGAAUUAAAGCAUGUGAGCAUUACUUUCCACAUUGGCCAUAAAUUAAGUUUUACCUUUCAAACUGAAAAAGGAGUUCUCACUUACCAUGAGAACUCGAACAGAACUCAAGGCAUUCAAAACCCAAGUUGGACAUAGAAAUGAUCUCAUCAUGGCUGUCAAAGAAUUGAUCUUCCUCUGUUUUAUCGCAACCACUCAUCUUUGUUGAAUUCAAGUAUUAAACAUACAGAUACCUACAUUUAAAAUCAACACAUACAUUAUUUUUGAAUUUUACAUCUAACCAAUUUAGAUUAUUAAAAAAAUGCUUUAUAGUUUAACAAACAACCAUUAAUCAAACAAAACAGAACAGAGAAUAAUCAUUAAAUUAUCAACCCCUCGAACAAAAAUAAAUAUAUAAAAAAACCCCAAAACACGCCCAUGAAACUUAAUUGUUUACAUUUCAGCACACAAGAAAAUGAAAAAAAAUACAACACAGUACAAAUCAAAAUCCAAAAGCAUAGAUCUUGCAAGAGUCAAAACAAAUGAUCAAAUAAAUAACACAAUCUUCAAAUCAAAAUAUAAGCUCUACAAAUAUAUUACCAUGACCGAUAGAUUCAUCAUAUAAUUCAGAAAAUUAAAAACUGCAACAAGUUUGAGUUUGGACCGGUGGUCGUCAGAAUCUGGUGGUAGUGUAUAUAAAGGUAGUGUGGUGACGACGGUUGGGGAAGAGAACCGUGUUCAUAGCGGCCUGUGUAGUUGUGACGACGAC